CUGCCACUCCUGGUUUUGCUAAAGAUUUCUUCAACAUUUUCGUCAUCAUCAUUGUCACUUUCAUCACUUUCCAUGUCAUCAGUGGAUGAUUCCAUGCACAUGUCGGCUGUAUCACCAAAUACCAGGUCAUUGUCACUGUUUUCACUUUCCAGCUCUUCAUCAGAGGUGUCUGAAUCAACAGUAAGUUUGUCCUGGGCAGGUACAAAAAGUUGAUUUAGCAUCGUCGAGGCUAUGUGAGCAGAAAUUUACUUGACUUUCUCUGUUUUCUUAAGAUGAAGUGAUUUGCAAAGACCAAAGUGGUUGAGAUAUUUAUCUAAUUCUGUCACUUUCAGUUUCUUGACCAAACCAUCUUUUAAAAGUACAGGCCAUUUAUAGUCUUUAAAUGUUUUCUUAUUUUGUUGUCCUUUUUCAAUUUCCCGUUUUUCAGCUCUUUUGCUUCUGUUAAUCUCUAACACUUUCAAAUGAUCAAGAUACUUUUUCAGCAAUGUUCUGUCAACAAUGUAUUUUUUGCUAAACUCUUCAAUUUCUUCAUCUGUAGAGAGCGUUUG